GAGGCUGGGGGCGGGGUCGCAGGGUGAAGGGCGGGGUCGCAGGGGCGCAGCCGCGGAGAUCCGGGGGACUCGGCGGACCCGGACUCCGUGCGGUGGGAACGGUUACCUUGCCCGCUUGGGUGGCGGCUGCCAGGCACGGCUUGAAAGGAAUGAAUCUCUAACAGAUCAUUUCGGGCCAUCAGUUUUCGGACAGUCUCCAUAUGCCGGGCAGUGUUCAAGGACCUAUGAAAACAGCGGUGGACAAAAAAUGUGUAAUUGGUGCCCCUGUGGAGUUUACAACCUAGAGGAGCCACCAUCUGAGGCAGAUUCUAUCAUCAUCCCCAUUUUACAAGAAUGGAAACAGUCACAGCAGGUUGGAUCACCCAAGCCUGAGAACACACGGCUGUCAUCUCUACACCUAACAUGGGGCUCAAACUCACAACCCUGAGAUCAAGACGCACGUGUUCUACCAACUGAGCCAGCCAGGCGCCCCUAAGAAUUCUAGCACAGGCUUUCGUGCCCAGCCAGGCUGUUGUGACCACCCCUCCCGUUCUCACGCUGGACUUCCCAGACCUGAGCUGCAAGAAGACAAGAGGUCAGUAACCCUGCAAGCACUGAGGAGGCGCCCAGCUCUGUCAUCAACUCAUCUACCACACAGAAAAUGACUGUGGUGGCUAAUUAUUCUUCUCUACAACCCUCAAACUCUUGUCUUUGUUUUUUUCCUCCAUAACUUUAAUUGGGAAUGAUCUGAUUAUCUUCAGAGAACCAUGUAUAUCCUGGAGUAAUCCACAAAUGGAAUAGUGCACUAUGGUCCCGAGUUAUUAGCGGAAUCCGGACAGGGGGGAAGGGGCUGGAUGGUUGCAGGCUUGGUCCCUCUCCCCGAGACACCUGUUCAGACAGAAGUUCACAGACAUCACCACCCCGCCAAGACUGUGGAACUGGAAGAAGCUUUGGGGGUCUGGUGAGCCCACUGUUGGCAGAGCUCACUGCAGGGACUGCAGGUCCUGAUCUGCUAUAUUCCCACCCAUCUCUUUGGAGGAAAAGCAUGGCCAAAAAGUGCCUGCAGACAGUGAACAAUUAAUGAAGUUUCUGGAAAAAGUGGCUUUGAUCCCAAUGCUUUAAAUACAAACUGCUUUUCUGGGACUUUGGCUGAGGGGGUCGCCCCUCCAGAAAUCAUAGAGCCAGGCAUCUUCCCAACAGCUGUCUCUUUACCAAUUCCCAGAACAGAAUGGGGAGGGACCGAAUGGUGAUCUAGCUAUGGACACCUCCUCGGCAUUUUGGGGAAACUGAGGCCCCGGCAGAGAAGUGCACUUGUGGGUGAGUGACACCAGCGAGUGAAUUUAGAGGACUCCAUUGCCCUGAGUCCCAGGCCAGUCUUUGUGCCUUAGGAGAGAGAAAAUACAAGAGAAAAAGUGAGAUGUGUGAAGGCAGAGAGGAAUGAGAGAAGAGGAGGAGGAGAAAGGACACGAAGGGGAAGGAAUGCAGAGUGAGAGAAGACAGGGAGGGGAGAGGCAUGCGCAGGACAGACACCCUGCUUUAUUUCACCGCGCGGGCACGUGGUUCUGUGAUGCCCGCCAGUGGUCUUUCUUCUCGGCAUUUCGGCUCCCCAAUUAUACCAUAAAACCUUCUUUGUACCCCUGGGUGAGGCAUCUGGCAUCAUGUGAGGCCCUAAGCGGUUGCUUCAUCCGAGCAGGUGGUUCUAGGAAUGGCCACACUUGAUAGUCCAAAUAGGAGGUUUCCAAAGCCCAGGGAGGUUUUUUUCCUCAAUGUAUCACUUCACCCAGCUGAUCUGCACCUGGGAGUGUGGGGGGGGGGGUGGAUGAUAGGCGAGGCACUUCCCCGCUCAGAGCCUCAGGCUCUCUAUCUGUAAAUGGGUUUGAGAUGGAGAGGUUGUUUGGACCACAUUAUUGCCCUUACAGCCCUGGCGUUGUAGAAUUAUGUUAAUUCCAGUUCUUCUGCUUCCCUCUUUCUUCAGGUAUUUCUGAGAGGCAUUACAGGGCAAAUCCAGAACCCCUUACUAUAAAUACAUUUCAAUGGGAAGGAAGGGUUUCUAAACAAAGGGGAUAAAGCGCAGAAGCCUAAAAUGAAUUCUGCCGACUUGACCAUUCCCCCAGGGGGCUGAGUGACUGCAGAGAAAUCAAAGGCUCAGGAUGCUCCAGGCUGCCCCUCCACUCCCCACCAGACCCUGAGUGUCCUUCCUGGGGACAUACCAGAAUGUUCAUCUUCUUCAUCACCCAAGGUCACUUUGAGCCCUCUGAGUGGGGAAAUUAUUAAAAACCAGUGACAUGGAAAGACAGAUGCAGGCCGUGUGGCAGAGAAAGUGAUAUAAACUGGUCCCAACAUCAGAUCAGUUAGUGCGAUGCCCCACCGAGCUAUCGUGGAAUGCAGUGUGUUAGCAAGAAUACUGGACCAUGGAGAGGCGACCCAAAUAGCCAAAAAUCUUUUUUUUUUUUUUAAAGAUUCCACCUAUUUAUUCAUGAGAGACAGAGGCAGAGGGAGAAGCAGGCUCCCCGCGGCGCAGGGAGCCCGAUGCGGGACUCGAUCCCAGGACCCCGGGAUCAUGACCUGAGCCGAAGGCAGACACUUAACCAACUGAGCCACCCAGGCGUCCCCCAAAAAUCUUUUUUUUUUUUUUAAAGAUUUUAUUUAUUUAUUUGACAGAUAGAGAGACAGCUAGACAGGGAACACAAGCAGGGGGAGUGGGAGACAGAGAAGCAGGCUUCCCACCGAGCAGGGAGUCCGAUGCGGGGCUCGAUCCCAGGACCCUGGGAUCAUGACCCGAGCCGAAGGCAGACGCCCAACGACUGAGCCACCUAGGUGCCCCUAGCCAAAAAUCUUAUAAUAGUCUGCUCAGCCUCAGUAGCAAUUAGGGAAGUGUAAAUCAGUAACCAAGGAAAUGCCAUUUCUUACCUGUCAGACUGAUGAAAAAUAAGUCUGACAAUAUCAAGUGUUAACAAGGACAAGGACACUCAGGGAGGACAUUGGUCAUAGGAGUGUAAACUUUUGGUGAGCAAUUUGAGAAUAUCUAGGAAGGUAGAAUAAGCACAUGACCUUCCAUCCAGCAAGUCUGCUCCCAGCUUUACCCCCAGAGAAACUCUAGCACAUGUCACAAUCUAGCACAUAUAUGUGGCAAUCCAUCGCAGCAAUGUUCAUAAUAAUGGAAAAGGGGAAACGCCUAAAUGCUCAUCAACAGGGAAAAGGAUCGAACUGUGAAAUAGUCUUGUAAAUAAAUCAUAAAUUUCAAAAUACUGGACAAAAAGAGCAAAAAAAAAAAGUUGUAAAAGGCUCCAUGGAGAAUGAUGCCAUUUUAUAUGAGGUUUACAAACUUGUAAAACAAGACCAUGUAAUUUUUAUAGGUACAUAUAUAUGUAGUAAAAGUAGAAAAGCAUGCAUGGGCAUGGUAAACACUUGGAGAAAUUAGUUCUCGGGUCUGGUGGUGGGGUCGGAACAAGAUAUGGGAAGUUUACAUGGGAGGUUUCCACUCUCUUUGUUUUGUUCUUUAAGUCAUUGAAAUGAAUAGGACUUAAUGUUAAUAUUUGCUAACACUGGAAGUUUCCAUAUUUGACUUUCUAUUCUUAUCUGUUUUUUAGAUCAUUCAGAAUAUAAAUAAUUAUCUUAAAAAGAGAGAAAACAAGGACGGUCAUUGGGCCAGAGUUCUCAUUGAGAUUUCAGGGCCGUGUGCAAAGCAGAGGGUUUCACUUGCCCAGUGGGUACUGAAUUACAGCCCUGGAGCUGGAGUCCUAUGUAAUUAACCAGCAGCCGCAAGCUCUGGAGAGUCUGUGAAGUCUGCCGAGCACGCAGAGUGUGAAAGGCUGCUGAGAAGCCCACGAUCAGUAUGAGAACAACUAGACCAUGGCUCACCACCAUCUGGAGGUUAAUGGCCAAAGAAGCUGGGAGGCAGGGACAUGCAAAUUACACUGCUGUGAGCAGGGAAGAAACAGAGCCUGGCUGCAGGACUCCAGAUCUCAAGCUCUUGACGGCUCUUGCUGAGCAACAGGUUCCUCUCAUCUCCUCUACAAGAGCCAGAGAAGACAGCCUAGAUGUAAGUCUGUGAACUGAGCCGUUUAUUCAUCGUCAGCCCAUAACUAUUUACUGGGCAUUCAUUGUGUGGCAGCACUCAGUGAGUCUGGCCACAGGGAUGCUGAGAGUAAUAAGCUCAGCCUUUGUUCUUGCGAAGCGUGUUGUCUAGAGAGAGAGGUCAGUAUCUAAACCAGCAUAAUAAAACCAAUGGCUCCAGGCUGCUCCUGGGGUCGGGGGGGGGGGGGGGGGCGGUGCACGUAUGUCCAGAGAGUCCUGGGUGGGAAAAGAUGGUGAUUCCCAGGUGCAAAACAUGGACCAGGGUGUGUGUGGAGUCAUGGCACAGGGCUUUUCUCUGACCUCAUCGCCUGGCCGAACCUCCAUUCCUGAGCCAUGAGUCCCAGAAACUUUCUUACAAAAAUACGCUGGGCUCAGGAACGUGUAUUUAGCUUUUACCUUGUUGCGAGUGGGGGAGACUACAGAAACCCUGUCAUUUCAUGUGUUGUAAGCCAGGGGUAUUGGCUGCUUCUUUGGAGCAACCCGUUUGAUUGUUCUGAGAAGAACACUUGACAUAUGCACAAAAGUCAAAAGAGGCCAUACCUGGACAAGGAGAUAUUUAGGACUGGCUCAAAGGAGCUCCAGCUACUGUGGGAUAAGGAGAGAGCUGCUACAGGCUGGACUGCUUUUCUGCAGGGAAGUUCUUACUUUGGGAGCCCUUGGGUAUGGCGCCUGGGUGGGAGGUGGGUUCACCAAUGAGAUUUAAGAGAUGCACAAACCUCUGAACUUGUGGGGGAAAUGUAUUUUGUGCUUUUUUUUUUUUCUGGGUAGAGGAUCGAGAGCUUUCAUCAGAUUUUCCUAGGGCUCCUUGAAUACCCCAAGAAAGCGAAGAAUCACAUCUUUGACAAUUAAUUAAUACUUCUUUGAAAUAUUAAUUUUCUUCUUUUUUUUUUUUUUGAUUUUAUGUAUUUGUUUGAGAGAUGGGGCAGGGAGUAGCAGAGGAAAAGAAAGAAGCAGACUCCCUGCUGAGCAGGGAGCCCAGAAGUUCUAGGGAGGACAAAGGCAUUGUAUUGUAUGCAGGACUCGAUCCCAUGACCUGAGCGGAAGGCAGGUGCUUAACUGACUGAGCCACUCAGGUGACCCUGAAAUACUAAUUUUCUAAGUGCACGUUUAAGCUACACCUGCAGCAAUUGCACAUUCUUGGGGUGGUGUGUGUAUUUUUGGUUCUAUGAUCCAUGCAAAGAUCUGGAGCUGAGACCCAGAAGACAGGCAAAAGGGCAAAAGGGACCUGUGGGUGUGCUUCCCCAGGCACUGGAAGAAGGACUGUGUAACAGGGACAGGAUAGCCUGGGGCAGAGUUCAACAUGAUCUUGACUGCCCGAUGCUACACGGGGUCGUUUCAAUCUGCGCAGCCCAGAACCUGGGAAAUAGCUUCAUGCUACCUACGGGGUUGAAUUUUGAGAUUUUCAUUCCGCUGGGGCCUUAAGCAACAUCACAGUGUCAAUCAUCUGAGGACGAAGCCAUUCCUGGCUCAGAGAGGAAGGAGGGAAGAGAGUUGGUUUGGACGAAGGUGAAGGAAAAUCCCUUCCUUGCUCUGGGCUCAUGCGUUGGGCUAGACCUUCUAAGGCAUUGAUGUCUGCUGCAGGACACACACAGAAGAGGUGGGGGGAGGCUGGUCCUGCCAAGACGUGGGUCGGAACUGGGCUGGGAAUGCGGGCCCAGGAGGACGAAACCAGCCUCUGAACUCUGAGAGCAGCCCUGCCCAGGCAGAGAUUUCCUGGGAUGUCCUCCUGACCUUCUCAACUACAAGCUCUGGUGUUACUCACCCUUCGCUCCCCAGUACCCAGCACAGUACUGGCCCUUAGAAGGAGGUGAAUGAAUGGAAUGUGCCUCGAUCCCCUAGAAGGCUGUGAACUCCUUGCAGGCAGGGCCUUUUUAUGGAUCAGUACAAGAUUGCCCCUACCCAUCCUCCCUGUGCUUUGCUGAUGCCCAUAGGGCUGAAUGCCUUUGUCCUCCCUAGAACUUCUCAGCUCAAACCCAUGCUUCCAGCAGUCCUUCUGGAUAAGUGAUAGAGACCCCAGCAAUUUACUAAUGGAAGGAGCUAUCACCAUUGGUUCUGGCCAUGCCCCAUCUCUUUUGCCUUUCGGCACAGUGACAGUAUUUUUCAGUAGAGGUCCUCAGUACCCACAUGCAGGAGCCUUGUGCAUUUAUUUGUCCAUUUAUCACUCACUCACUCGUUCAUUUGUUCACUCCCAUGCCCACUCACGUGCUCACUCAUGUCUUCAGUCAUCUGACUAUUCGUCUCAUUCAUUCAUUCAUCUCCUAAACUUGCAGACCACUGCAGAAUCGAGAUGCUUCAGACAACAGGUCUUGCCUCUUAGAGCUCCGAGGUUGGGGCACGGAGCACAAGAGCCAUGAACACACACAGUGGAGGAAAAAGUAGUGAACUGCAUGAGAGAGACACAAACAGGCCACUGAGGGGUCACAGAAGGAAAGGUUUCUUCCAGUCGAGAAAGGGCGAAUCAGAGACAGCUUCCUGGAGCAAGGCUCAGCAGCAGCAGCUCCAGAAUUUCUACAUGGGGAGCGGGUGAGGGUGGCAGCUUUUGGAGGCAGCUUGAAGCGGCGUCAUCAGGAGGGUUUGUUCCGUAAGACUGAAUAUCUGUCAGCUGCCUGAUCAUGAUGAGACUGGGGGGCUUCAUUCUCCCCCAGCGCCCCCCCACCUUGCUUCUCCCACCCAAGAAAUGGCAUUUGACUCAUGCCUCAGUAAAUGAGGAGCAUUUAUCUGGACUCAAGGUGGUAGGGAAAGGAUGAACACCUGACAGGAGCAAAAGCCUGGAUGUGGAAAAGCUCAAGGCCAAGUACAGGGAGCCUGGAGUCCUUAGGUUUUGGUGGAACAGGUAGAAGGAAGGAGUGGACAGUGACCUUGGAAAGGUAAGUUGAGCUUGGAAUGCAAGACUAAGGUGUUUGGGCUUCAUUCAGCAGAUUGUGGGAGCCACUGAAGGUUUUGAGCAAGAAAAUAACAUGGCCAAUGCUAUUUGGGGGCUCGAUCUCUGGGGCAAGGUGGAGAAUGAAAAGGAGCAGGCAAGACCACAGGAGGCUGGUUCCAGGCCCCUCCUAAUGUUGGGGGUGGGUGGCAGAGCAAGAGUGUAAAUGAAGGUUCACAUGUCACUGCAAAUAUCUAAAAGUUAUAAAUCAAAUGAACACAUAAAAUACUUUCUAUCCCCCUACCCUGACAAAGAGAGCUUCAUAGCAACCUGAAGGGCCAGGUUCAAUGUUUAAUUCUCAAAUCUUCACACCGGAAGGUGCCGAGAGAUCUGCCCCAUGGCCCCAACCUCCAGUCUGGGGCCCACAUCCAGUCUUUUUCCAUCCCUUCCUCCUUCCCUCACUGUGAGAGGCCUCACGCACGCCUGUGGGCACCAAGCCCACACAUCCAAACUGUUCAUACCCCCAGCACACAGCUACCUCCAGCCACGCUUCAGCCCUAGAGGGACACACAUUGGCUGAGCAUCUACCCUUCGGAGCCUGGGGCAGAGGUCUGAGCAAACCUUUGGAAGCAGGCUGGCUUGGGAUGAGAGAAAAUUCCAGAAGCCAGAGCAUUACAUGUGUGUGGUCUAGAAGGAGAGGUUGCACACUGCCCCUGAUUUUUGUCCUUCUCACCCAGGGAGUCUGGGGGACAUGCCAAGAGAAGGCCUGAGUGGGACGUUCUAAAGCCCAAGACCCCAGAUAGGGGCCCCCUUCUGCCCACGGUAAGGGCUUUCAUGACCAGGGGAAACAGAAUAAGGCCCUGAGCCAGGCCCUGUGAAGGAGGGAGCAGAAAUGGCAGAUUGCAGAGGACUUGGAAACCGGACA